CGCCGCUUCCUUCACGCGCAGCCGAACGUAAAGCUCCGCGCGCCGUUGAACAUUCACGCGCACUCGCGAGUCGGGAGCGCUGCCCUGCUACGAGUCCCGCGGAACCGCUCGGAAAUUACCGGUGUCCCUUCGCGAAGCCGCGGAUGAUUAAUCUCGAAGCGAAAGCAGAAGGUUUCGGGGCGAUGAUGUCACAGUGAUGUCACAGAGCUGAAGCAGAGGCCGUCAUUGACAAUAUGGAGUCCCCGACCUCCAGUCAGACCUCCAUAAGAGCUCCAGCAAACCCAGAAAGCUCACCAACAGCAGCAACACACGGCAAGAGCGGUCACUUGUUUCAACUGGUUGGCAAUCAGGGUUUGGGAAUUUCUUCAGUUUCCGGUGCCUUUCCCAUGCUCACUCACCCAGUCUUCGGUCUGCACUCCUCUUCUCCUGUCCGCC